CCACGAAAAUCGGCAAUUGAAUAAUACGGUUCCCCGUCGCAUGUCCGGUGCUUUUUCGUAUGCAAAAAAAUGUAAAUUCGAACUUUGUGUUGGAAUGUCUAGCAAGUCCGUCACGGCGUCAUAUCAAGUGAAAAUCGUUUAACAUUCAAGUUAGCUGCGUAGGUAGUAGGUACUAUUAGCACUACAACAAAUCAGGUAGGGCUCAAUAGUAAGUGAAAUUAGUACUUAGUGGAUAGAUGCUUUAGUUGAAAUCUAUUAAGGUUCGAGCUCGGUCACUCAGCUAUCGGUGCAAGAGGUUCAACAGUUUGUGUACAUCGUCGUGUCAUACCUGAAGCUUUUUUUUUUUAGAUACCAUAUUGUUCACAGGAUUGUUGAAGGUGAACAUGAUGUCUGCGUACAAAUGUCAUAGUGUCUAUCAUAGCGUAUUAUUUGAGGGAACGAUGUGUAAUUCGCCACUGUAAUAAUCUCUGUAUGUAAUAAUAUUAUCAAAGGCUCGUUUCACGUUACGGUCUCUGUCUGCUGUAUCCACUAUAUCGAUCUCUGUCACACGCAUCUUUUCCCUAAUCGCGUAAUUAUCCAUAUGUCCGGUAUCGUAGGUACCCGUCACCCGAUAAAGUGGAGUGAUGGAAAUAAGAUUUUGGCAACUGGCACUGCAACGUCUGCAACCGACGUAUAUAGACUCAUUUCAUUUCUCAACCAGAACAAGGAGAAUACAGCAAUGAAAUUAACACAGCAUUUUCAUUUUUACGGGCAUGGUGUAAAGGUGUUCUAUGCACCUGUUUACUCCUCCUGAGGAGGUUCCGGUGGAGGAAGGAAGCGAAGGUGUUUUCGGUGUCGACAGCCGGGCAAUGUGGCCCGCCAUUGUCCCGAUGAGUCCCGGUUAAGUUUGCCGCCGCCACCGCCACUGCCACCGCUACCACCUUCACCUUUACCGAAACCUCAAAUAAAAGAGAAGACCGACGACACAACCAUGGCCACCGUCAAGGAGGAGAUGGCCACAGUCACGGAGGGGGUGGCCGCGGCGGUUUCAAAUCACAAUGUCACAAUGAUGACACUUAUUUGAAAAUAGUAAUAGAGUAUGGACAAUAGAAAAUAACCAAUAUCAAAAUCUGUUUUUAAAUUUGAAAAUAAUUCGAUUUUUUUGAUUAACAAAAGCUUAAAGAACAAAUUUUGGCUGCUACGCAUAAAGAAAAAACUCCACGACUUGAAGUGUGUUCAAAAAAAUAACAAUGUUAAAUAUUUUAUUACACCAUAAAAAUUAUAAUAAUAAUUUACAUUUUAUUUCAUAAUAAAGAUUUCCUAAUCAAUGAA